AUAUCUCUCUGUACGGGAAGGAUGAGAAGCUUCGACUAAGGUUCGAUUCGAGCGUCAGCGAGAAAGCGUUGCCGCAGGCAACGACCCGAAGGGCGAAACGCGCAGCGCUGAGUCAUCCUUCCCCCACCACCA
rnacentral:sRNA from 5 species